rnacentral:lncRNA from 1 species
CGACGGCCCAGAUCAAUCGCGCGAUCGGACGGCCCAUAUUCAAACGCACGGACGGCCCAGAUUCAAUCAAAAACGAACGGCCCAGAUUAAAACGAAAUGAACGGCUGUGAUCAAAAGGCAAUGGGUUAUAAAUAGAACCCCCACACCAGACCACAAACCCUAGCCGCCAGCCGCUCGCCGGAGAAGACGAACCAGAGGCCGACCGCCGCCACCCGCCGCCACUCGCCGCCGCACCGGGGAAAUUUCCGACCGCCGAUCGAGGUAAAUUUCAUACCCCCGACUCGUUUUUCUCCACUGAUUCCUCCUAUGGCCAAAUCGAAGCCGAAAUCCUGGCCAAACGGCCGGAAUACGCGGCCGAAGCCCAGCGGCGCCGCCGCGCCCGCUCUCGGUUUUUACCUCCGACGAGGCCCUUCCCGGCCUCCGUUCGAUGCAAUUUUUAUAUCACCGUGAUCAUCAUUCUUUUCUCUACAGGUUGACCGGAGCCGAAUCACCAAAACACGAACCUCGCCGGAGAGCCG